rnacentral:rRNA from 1 species
GAUGAACGCUGGCGGCGUGCCUAAUACAUGCAAGUCGAGCGAACGGACGAGAAGCUUGCUCCUCUGAUGUUAGCGGCGGACGGGUGAGUAACACGUGGAUAACCUACCUAUAAGACUGGGAUAACUUCGGGAAACCGGAGCUAAUACCGGAUAAUAUUUUGAACCGCAUGGUUCAAAAGUGAAAGACGGUUUUGCUGUCACUUAUAGAUGGUUCCGCGCUGCAUUAGCUAGUUGGUAAGGUAACGGCCUACCAAGGCGACGAUGCGUAGCUGACCUGAGAGGGUGAUCGGCCACACUGGAACUGAGACACGGUCCAGACUCCUACGGGAGGCAGCAGUGGGGAAUAUUCCGCAAUGGGCGAAAGCCUGACGGAGCAACGCCGCGUGAGUGAUGAAGGUCUUCGGAUCGUAAAACUCUGUUAUUAGGGAAGAACAUAUGUGUAAGUAACUGUGCACGUCUUGACGGUACCUAAUCAGAAAGCCACGGCUAACUACGUG